rnacentral:tRNA from 1 species
UCCCUGCUGGCUCAGUCAGUAGAGAAUCCGCCUGCAAUGCAGGAGACCCAGGUUCGAUCCCUGGUUUGGGAA